UGAUAUUCCCCUCAAAGUAGGUGUGUUUUCAAUUGCUUGACUGUCUUCCACGCUCGCUUUUCGAUCGGAUUUAAAGCAUUACUGCAAAAUGGACUCCAAUGAUGGACUUACUGGUUCAAGCCACCACAUCCAACAAAAUAGCUCCGGGUGGUCAUAUCAUUAAUGUCAUUUCCAAAGAUGAACGCAGUGUUAGUUACAAGCCCAGCACACCUAUUGGUUCCCUUGAUGCUAACACAGUGUACAUAGUACCCAAGGCCACUUUAGAUUUACCCAUUAAAAGAAUGCCAAAACUUGCUAAUCAGCCUUUUGAGCAGCAAACAUUCAGGUUGCAGGUGAACUUACCUCAUAAUCAGCGAAUGGUUCUCCGGGUUAGUCCUCGCACUACACUAGCUGAGUUGAAAAGUCAGAUUUGCUCUGAAAAAGAACUUGACCAAAGUAGUCAUCAUCUUGUACGGCCUGCACAACCUGAUACUGUUUUAGAUUUAAAUGCUACUCUUGAAGUUUAUGGUUGUGCUGAAAUUAGUUUGAUGUCUAGUGCAGGUCUUCAAGACAGCAUUCGAAGCACUAACAUUUUUCCUUACACAAGAGCUGAAGAAGAAAAGAAAAAAAAAGGAAUUCUUCGUUUAUUUUCAAGGAGGAGGAGGGGAGAUGUGAAUAUUGCCAUCGAAAAGCCCGCAAAUGGAACAAGUACCCUUACUCAUUCUCAGAGUGAGAGUACAGGAUUGAAUCGACAUAGCUAUCAACCAAAGCAGAGCCUGAAAAGGAAACCUGCUCCAGCUCCUCCACAAAACCGAAAUUCAUCACCUCCUUUCAUUACACAGAGUUCAAAUUCUAUUAAUUCACGUCCCGAAUCCGAGAUUUCAAUAAAGACUGCUGAUGAAGUAGAAAGCUCAGUUUCCCAUUCCAGGCAUAGUUCUGAUUCUAGUGGCUAUCACGAACCUUCUGUUUUUAGUGACUGUUCAGAAAACAAGUCACCGGAAGCAUCUAUUGUUCAUGGAGACCAUGUCUCUGUGAAUGAUGCAAACCGACAAGAAAGCCCCUUUCAUAAAGACUAUCCUGAUAGCUGUGUUCUAAUGAAAAGGUCUUCAAUGACGGCCAAAGACACAAAUUUAAAAAAUGUGCCAUCCUGUUCUAAUGUCUCCAUCAUUAGUACAUCUCGUAAACGAAAAGCUCCUCAGCCUCCAGUCUCAACCUUACCUGCAAUAGAAUCUCCAUCAUCACCUGAUGCUCCUCCUUUGGAAACAAUAGAAAAUAUGCCUUCCAAUGUGUCUUCUAAAAACACUGAGCAUGAAGUGGGAGAAAUACAUCCCCAGAAUAAUGAAGAUGCUCUUCCAAAUCCAAGGGAUAAUGAUACUGUUGAAAGUAAAGGCAGCAGAAGUGAUGAUGCUGUGCAACAGGAAUCUGAAGCUCUUCAGUAUUUAGAGGAUGUAUUGCAUGAAUCUGAAAGUUCUGCAAAAGACUUUCUACCACAUAAAGCUUUAGAUGAUAGUGAUACUGACUCUCAAAGAGAUGAGGGUGAAAUGAUAUCAGUAUGCCUUGCUGAAAUCCAUGCAAAUAAUAAUGAUCAGGACUCCCCUGAUAGUGUAGUUGAGCCUCAUGCUGUAGUUUCUCCUGAUUUACCAUCUCCAAAAUCUAGCACUGCUCCACUGUCACUCCCUAAUUCCCAGCCUGCAGGAUGCGAAGACUCCUCAAAAUCAGUGCCUUCUAAUUCGGAUGUCCAAAGUCACAACAAGGAAGGGUUGGACAGCUACGAGAAUGGCGUUCUUGGCAGCAAUAUCAGCGAUCUGAAGCCUGUUGGUGUCCAAACAGAUCAUGAGCAGCCUUCAUCUGGGGAAAGUUCCAACAACAGUAAACAAGAAAUAAGAGUUGAUGAAUCAACAAUUACUAAUAAAGAAGAUUCCCAGAGCUUAAAAACAAUUUCAAAAGCUGAUCCAAUCAUAACUUCCAAAGUAGAUGAAGAAAGCCCUGAAUCCAAAUGCAAGGAGAGUAGAAAAAGUUCUUUUGCAAGUGACAGCAAGUCAAGUUCUCUCACUAGUGAAAGCAAAGAAAGUAGGUCAAGUUCUGUUGCCAGCGAGAGUCCUCUUGGUAGCAUUUCCUCCACACCACGUAAUCGGAAAAAGCUAGAAAAUUUUGCACUAGGCUGCUACAAAAAAGAAGAUAAUGUUGACAUAUACAGUUUACCCUCUCCUGAAUCAGAAAACAAGCCACAAGAAAAAAGUCAGUCACAAAUAAAUCCAGUUGAUUUGAAAAAGGAACUUGAAAUUCCAGUAAGGAGAGUCAAAAAUCAACCCGAUGUGAAGAUAGUUUCUUUUAAAGAACAGAAAGAACAAAAUGAAGAAUAUUUGCAGCAAAGCAGCAGUGGUAGAGUACUGGAAAAAUGUGCUCAACUAAGCAGCAUAAGUACUCUGCCUUUGACUGGAAGAUCUGCCUCAUUGUUUAAUCUUACUCCACAGAAAAAAAUUGAGGCUUCAGUGAAAGAACAAACACUUAAUGAAGAAGUGAUGAAUGAAGGCAUGAAAAGAGCUCAAUCUGAUCAAAAUUUUGCUACUGACUUGGAAGUUGCUGAUAUUAAGACUAAUUUACUUCAAGAGCAGAAACGUCUUCAAGAUGAAUAUAAACGGUUACAAGAGCAGUUCAUGUCAUGGCAAAAACAACUCCUUUAUAAUCAAAAUGUGCUACAAACUGAAAAAAUUGUCCCUCAGAUGGAUUUCCCAGCAUUUGAAAGCUUAGGUAAUUUGGAAAUGAGCUCAAUAAAGGCCAACAGUGAAAAGCAAGUUUAUCAAAGUGAAGUAGAAAAAAAUAGGUUUGAUGAAUUGAAAACAAGGUCUUUACCAAGACCUAAAACUAAGCCUUUAUCUUUAAAAGAAGCUGCAAGACCCAAAACACCUCCAAUCCCUCAAUCUCCUACUGAAACUGCAGUUGUUGAUAUUGAUAUUAGUGUAUCAGAGACUGCCAAGAGGCCUGAAUCUUUACAUUCACAUUCUGUGAACACGCAGGUAAAUGUUGAUCUGAAGGAUAAAGUUGUUCAGGUACCACCUCCUCAGGAUAAAGUUGUCCAGGUACCUUCUCCUCAGGACAAAGUUACUUCCUCUACCCAAGUACCAUCUCCAGAAAAUGUGGAUGGAAAAGAAGAUGUCUCUGCACAGACAAGUAUAAAGGGCCAAGAGUCCUCACCAGAAAUCAGUAGUUACUCACCUUCAACGCCUUCGCCAGAUAAUGAGAGUAGCAAGUCGCAGACACUUCCUCGACCAAAACCUAAGCCUAUUAGUGCCUUUCAACCUUCACAGACUAUGACUCUGAACAGAAGCACGCAACCCAAGUCUCAGGUUGUGUCCGUCACUAUUGGUUCUUGGCAGCAACGUAACUCAGAAAAACCAGAUAUUGAACCUUAUAGUGUAGCUUCAUCGAGGUCAAAAUUCCAGAGUUUAGAAAGCAUUCCACAGAAUUCUAAUAAGCUGAUUCCUAAUACAAUAGAAAAAAGAAAACUACCACCAGUGCCCACUGAAAGUGUAAAUAUUGACAAUGAAUCAGUUCCACUUGUACAUAAACCUGUGGAACCAGUGUCUGAUAAUGCAGUAAUUUCUAAAUCCAUAAAAGAACAUGCUAAUGUUCCAAGCAAAACAAAAGACAAAGUUCAAGAAGAACACAAAAGUACUGUUAUAUCACAGGAAAAAUCUAAAAUAAGUAAUGCUCCUAGGCCUCCAAAAUUGGUUCCAAAACAAAGCGAAACUGAGACUCAAAAGCAAAAGAAUGAAAUUAAGUUUGCUUCUAAAGAUCCUUCUGCUAUGUUUAAGUCAUCAAAACCUUUUGUAAAGUUAUCUAGUAUGAAAGAUGAAACCCAUACAACUUCUAUAAUAGGACUGAAAAAAUGGCCUCUCUCAGAGGGUAACAGUAUUACUGAUGGGCGGCAGACAAUUUUAGAGGAUUUAAGAGCAAAUUCUAAAAGACCAGGAGGAUAUGUUCAGGAUAAAAUUCGAAGAGCCGAAGUUGAUCUUCGGAAGCCAAAAUCGUCAAAGACUGAAUCUGUUACCAUUCGAAAUUCGAAAGAUUCGGAUGUUGAACCUUCUAAACUUCAUAUCACUAAAGUUAAUGUUAAUAAUACAAAUAGUGGUGUGAACUCAAAUACUGUUGUUAAAAAUGUGAGCAGUACCACUAAUACAGUCACUCCUGUGAAUCUUCCAGUGCAGAAAAGUACUGCAUCUAAUGCAGUCACAUCUGUAACCGCUACAACCAGCAGACAUUGGAGCAACACUAUUCCAAAAUCACAGUCACUAAAUUCAGAAUUAAUGUCAGUUUUUUCUAAAAAAGCUUCCAAAAAUUUAUAUAGUGAAAUUAAUAAACAAAAUAUUGCACCAAAGCAUGCAAGUACUGCAUCAGAAACUGUGACCGUUAAUGGUUCUUCACCUGCACCCCCUCCCCCUCCCCCACCUCAGCCGUCUCUUUUUACAAUGCCUGUCAUACCCCCAGCUGAACAAAUUCCUGUUUCCAGUCAACUUUUAAUGGCAAGAGGUACAAAGACUUUGCCUGUAACAAAAAAAGAAUCUAAGAAAAGUCCAUCAAAACCUUCACAAUCUUCUGAUCCUAGGGAAGAGCUUAUGCUGGAGAUACGAGGUUUUGGUGGAAAGCAAGCCCUGCGUAAGCUAUGUGAAAAAACAUGCUUGACAUCACUUCUUAAAAAAUCACCCAAGAAGAAAAAGAUGUCUGAAGAUUCAAGCAGUCCAUCUCAUCAUUAAUGUGAAAGUUUGUUUUAUCUAAGAAGCAGUGGAAAUUUAGACUGAUACAUGUUCCAGUAGCACAGACUGGUUGGAAUCUGAAGGUUUUCGGUACAGCGUCUACUGCGAAUACUUAAGCUUUCAUUCUAGGGCUUCUCUGCAAUGGGAUUUCUGGUCAUGUGCCUAUGAUCAACUGAUAGUCAUUGGUUGUAACAGAACUCGAGUGAUUUUGUACAUAUUAUAAAAAUAUACAGAGUUUUAUCAUCCUUUUCGGUGAUAGAGCUUUUAUUGUGCCAGUACAGAGAAUUAAAACAAUUGUUGAAAAACUGAAAUGUAUUUUCUACAGAAUGUAUCUAUACAUUUCUGUUAGUGCCUGACUAAGUGCCACAAGCUAAGCUCAAUAUCAAACACCAAAGACACUUUGCAGAGGAUAUUUGAGAGAAAAUGAAAUUGGUGUGACAAAAUAUCUAUAUAUAUAAAUACACAUAUAUAUAUACAUAUAUAAAAGCUUUAUUUUUCUCAUGGGACAAGCCCUACUUAAUUGUCUCAAAUUUCAAGAAUUUAAUUUUUAACGUGAUGAAUAUAUGUUUAGCAGAUUAAAUAAGAUCUUUACUUCCACAAUGAUCAUGUUCAUCAAAUAUGGUGAGUAAUGAAUUUUCUCUCUUGCCAAAUGUGGUGGGGAUGUUUAAAAUAAUUUAAUUUAAAUGUUAAAGUAUAGACAAUGCAGUUUGUUGCAUAUGUAGAAUCUAUUAAUUAUUCUUUUUAAUUUGUAAAAAUCUUAUGUUAAAACUCAGUGUAGCUCCUACGUAAGUAAGUAGUCUUUAAAACAGUUAGUUACACCUAUAGGUUUCAAAUUGGGUCAACGAGAAAAUGUUUUUAACUCGUCACCAAAUUUGGCAAACAGAACCAUAGUGGGAGUUCAGCCAAACAAAAGAAUUAAUACAUAUCUGCUAUUCAUUACUGAAAUUUUUAUCCUCGUUAGAUCAUAAAAAUCAUUUUUUCCUGAAGCAUAAUUUUAGCCACUACAGUGCCUCUUUAUUAUGGGAACAGUUGAUAUAUAAUGUGUAUAUAAGCAGUGUACAAAAUAUGUAAAUUCUGUGUUUGUUCAUGUUCAAAUAAUGUAUUUCUAAAAGUGAAGUUCACUUUUAAUUUCUGAUUUAGUGUUUCUGUUCCGUGUUCAGUUUAUAUUAGUUGGCAUGUUGUGAUGAUUCCAGGAAAUCGAAAUACUACCACGCAUGAGCUGUACUUUUAGAAUUUUUUUAACGUAUAUGCCAUAUGGGAUGUGGUAAUCAUAUUUUAAUUAGUCACUCUUCUCAUUUUAAAAAGGCAUAAUUUUAUAAACAGUUUGUGAGAAUUUCUGUUUAGUAUAUAUAUACAUAAAUAUAAUUUCACUAAAAUGUUAUAGCAAAGCAAUGCCUUUAUGUUGAAAUUGUGUUUUGAAUCAUAAAUAAAGAUUUAUGUUAUUUCAAAUUAUAA
rnacentral:misc_RNA from 1 species